rnacentral:misc_RNA from 1 species
CAGAAUUAGCUGGGAUCAAUUCGAUAAUUUUAUCAGGCACCCUACGAAAGAAGAAGAUAAAUCAAAUUAAACGAGUUUUUAAUUGCCAAAAUAAUUAUUAAAGUUAAUGCAUGAGUUGGUAUCAACGAUCUGUUUUAUCAAGUCAGUCUAUAUUUUUCCAGGGAGCAAUAAUUAAACAAAACCUCAAGAUGCAUCUGCUGCCACAACCACGAGAGAGACCAGUGAUCUUUGAACGCUGCUGCUGAUAAUAAAUAGUAAUUGAUUGGCUACUUUAUGUUGCUACAGUCGUGAGGAGGAUCGAAUUAAAAAAGGCAUGUAAAAAGAACUGUGUCUUCUUAACUUUUUUUUCUGUGAUAUCAAAUUGUUGCCAAAAAUAGUGUUGUGACGAUGAUUCUAUUUAUGUGUAGAAUUUUACUAACUUUUUGUGUUUUACAUACAAUGGCAGUGUUUAGUUCUGUGUUAGUGGAAAAGAAAGAAAACUGGAGGACACCUCCGGCACAUUUUAAGUACACAAUAGAUGAAUUGUUGAGCAAGGUAUUUCCUAGGAAAACUUCAGAUGAUUACGACUGGGAUCCAUGCAAAGCAGGUCCUUUUUUAGGUGAUAUAGCAAUAGGAGAAGAAAGGGUAGUACCCGUAAGGCGGAGAAGAAACGUUAACAGCAAUAAAUAUUUAACAGAAUCUCCAGUUCACGAGUUUGAACCAAAUUUUGAUUUAAAAAGAAAAAACACUGCCAGCUAUGAAAAACGUCAUUACAGAAUCAUCAGAGCAGCAACUGCACGAAAAGAAAGAAUAUGGGAUUAUGGGGUAAUACCCUAUGAAAUUGAUGGAAAUUUCAGUGGGCUUCAUAAAGCUCUAUUUAAACAAGCAAUGAGGCACUGGGAAAAUUUCACUUGUGUCAAAUUUGUCGAGAGAAAUAGAGAUGAACACCAAAACUAUAUUAUAUUUACAGAAAAGCCGUGUGGAUGCUGUUCUUUUGUAGGCAAAAGAGGCAAUGGAGGUCAGGCGAUUAGUAUAGGCAAAAACUGUGAUAAAUUUGGAAUUAUAGUACAUGAACUUGGCCACGUUGUAGGUUUUUGGCACGAACACACGAGGCCAGAUAGAGAUAAGCAUGUUAACAUAAUUAGAGAGAACAUCAUGAGUGGUCAAGAGUAUAAUUUCAAUAAACUAAGUGAGGACGAAGUGAAUUCAUUGGGGGUACCUUACGAUUAUGAUUCCAUAAUGCAUUACGCUAGAAAUACGUUCUCAAAGGGAACCUACUUAGACACGAUUCAACCCAUCGAUGUGCCCGGACGAAAAAGGCCAGAAAUCGGACAGAGAGUUCGAUUGAGUGAAGGAGAUAUUGCUCAAACUAAUCUUCUAUAUAAAUGCCCAAAAUGUGGGAGGACAUAUCAAACCAAUUCUGCUACAUUUUCACCGCCAGUUUACAUGGAAAGUGCCCCUAAAGAUGAAGUACGUUGCGAAUGGAGAAUUACUGGAACACAUGGAGAAAAAAUUGUACUCAAUAUAACCAAUCUCGACAUAGCAAAAUCUAAUGAAUGUAAAACCGAUUACAUAGAAAUACGAGAUGGAUAUUGGCAUAAAUCACCCAUCUUAGGUUUGUUUUGUGGAACGGGACAGUUUCCACUCAUUAAAUCAUCUGGAAGCCGUAUGUUAAUCACUUAUGUUUCAAAAAAUCCCAAAGGACACAAAGGUUUUACUGCAAGUUAUGAAGCUAUAUGUGGUGGAAAUCUUGUCAUUGAGACUGAAGGUCAUUUAGAAUCUCCCAACUAUCCAGAAGAUUACCAGCCAAACAAAGAAUGCAUUUGGAAAAUCACGGUUCCUAAAAAUCAUCAAGUUGCUUUGAGAUUCCAAUCCUUUGAUGUAGAAAACCACGACAGCUGUGUUUACGACUACGUAGAAAUCAGAGAUGGUUUAACUCCCGAUAGUCCGAUCCUAAAGGUUCAUUGUGGACCCAAAGUACCUCCAGAUGUCAUUGCAACAUCCAAUCAAAUGUUUGUUAAAUUUGUAUCGGAUGGAUCUGUUCAAAAAACUGGAUUUUCUGCCAUUAUUAUGAAAGAGUACGAUGAAUGUUCCAGGAUAGACCACGGGUGUGCACAACAAUGCGUCAAUACGUUAGGAAGCUAUAUAUGUACGUGCAAGAUUGGAUAUGAGCUACAUUCAGAUGGAAAAAAUUGUGAAGAUGCUUGUGGAGGCAUAUUUGACGUCCCCAAUGGUACUAUAACAUCGCCUUCGUUUCCGGAUUUGUAUCCGCUUAACAAAAAUUGUGUUUGGGAAAUAGUUGCACAACCUCAAUAUAGAAUUACCAUAAAUUUUACCCAUUUUGAACUAGAAGGUAACUUUAAUCUUCAGCAACAACAAUGUGAAUAUGAUAAAGUUGAAAUUUAUAGUAAAUUGAAAGAAGAUAAACUAAAGAAACAUGGUUCCUUUUGCGGACCAAAAGCACCUCCUCUUAUAACGUCGGAAGGAAACGUUAUGAGAAUUGUAUUUUCGUCGGAUACAAGUGUACAAAAAACUGGGUUUGCCGCAGUAUUUUUCACAGAUAUGGAUGAAUGUUCAAUAAAUCAUGGCGGCUGUGAACAUGAAUGCGUUAACACCCUUGGUGCCUACAUAUGUACCUGUCACAAUGGAUACACUUUAGCCGAAAAUGGCAGAGACUGUAAAGAGGGUGGAUGUAAAUAUGAGAUCUCAACUCCAUACGGUACUUUAGGAAGUCCAAACUAUCCUGAUUACUAUCCACCAAGAAAAGACUGCGUGUGGCACUUUACAACAACUCCAGGACACAGAAUAAGAAUAGCAUUCCAGUUAUUUGUACUAGAACCACAUCAAGAAUGUUCGUAUGAUCACGUAGAUUUUUACGAUGGAGCAUCUCCUGAAUCUCCUUCCUUAGGAAGAUUUUGUGGAUCUAAACUCCCUCAUUUGAUAGUAGCUUCUGGAAACCAGAUGUAUAUGACUUUUAGGUCUGAUGCUUCCGUACAAAGGAAUGGUUUCUGGGCAACACAUUCAACUGUUUGUGGUGGUAUGCUGGAAGCUACAUUCGAUAAGCAGCACAUUUAUUCCCAUGCUAAAUUUGGAAGUGCGAGUUAUGAAAAUAGAGCUGACUGUGAUUGGACUAUAGAAGCACGAGGAGGAUAUAACGUAAAGCUUUCGUUUUUGACAUUUGACAUUGAAGACGAAAAAGAUUGUGGAUACGAUUUUGUAGAAAUAUUUAGUGGAAUGGAUUCAAGUGGACCCUCCUAUGGAAAAUAUUGUGGAUCAAGGAAACCAUUUGACAUCAUAUCUACGCACGAAGCCUUGUUAGUUAGGUUCAAAACUGACGACACACUCGUGAGUAAAGGGUUUAGUCUCGUAUAUGAAGCUGUUGAAACAUCUACCAGUGAAGAAGAAAUAUAAACAAUAUUUAUAGAACUAAUAUUGUACGAGGUGGAAGCUUUCAGAAGAGAGACAUAUAUUUGGUGCAGAAUCUCAUGAAAUGUGAAACUAUUAGAACAAUAAUUGGUAUUUCAGCUUUUCGUCAAAUCCUUAACAAUAUCAGUUUCAUGAGAUUAUGCACUCCCAAAAUUUGUAUGUGAAACCUUGUAUAUUUUUAUAGACUUAUUUAAAAAAUUUAAACACACUCUAUCUAAAUUUAUGUAUUUGACUAAAUCUGAAACGAAUUACUUGAUUGACCAUCUCCACUGGAAUUCCUGAUUCGACCUCUAUUUGAGCAGACGCCAGAAUGGUGUAUUUUUUCCUAGCUCUCCGUCUACACGUUCUAAUUGUUCCGCCGUGUUCAAUAUCAUUUUAAACCAACGAUACCAUACGUUUAGUUUUCGAUUAGAGAUAGGCGACUGAAGGAAGCGUUAAAAUCGGCAACAUUGCUUAUGAGAUUGAGUUGCAUUGCCACUGUAGAAUCGAUGAAUGACUGAAUAAAUCGACACGACUCACGUGUGGAAAGCGGGGAAGCAGUGUUGCCAUGUAUUAGGUGUACUCCUACAUCUAAUUUAAAAGUAAACGCACGGUAUAGUUAUUGCAUUUACUGCAGCAAAGACAAAAAAUGUAGCAAUAUCUUAUAAUGUUUUGUUAGAUGUGUAUUUGAGAUGUUUGUUAGUAUUUACCGUAUGAUGUGAACGUAAAGAUAAAAAAAUUAUAUUUUGCUCAAAAUAAGUGUUCCAAAUCAUUAAGAUAGUUUGCUAAAUAGUAAGUAGCAAUUACAGACGUGUUGAUCAUGUUGAGUUUUGUCAAUAUAUAAUCUUAGACACUAAUAUGGUUACUAAAAUACAUACAAAUGCUACACAGAUAUAUUUUAUAAUUACCUUUUCAUUAUUUAUCUAAAAAGUAGUAGGUAUAUAAUUUAAGAAAUUUCAAAAAUUUCAAAUUUGUUAUUGGAUCUGGCCUUUAACUUCCAUGCUUAAAUUCCGUACAAGAGAACAGGCUAAAUGUGACACUUUAGCACCUUGUACCUCAGAUUGAAAUCCAACUUAGGUUUCAAGCAGCAUUUUUUGGCUUGUUCUACUCUGAUCUUUAUUUUAGCCUCAGGGUCCCAACUAUCGUUUAGGAGACAACCAAAGUACCUUAACUGUAUUAAUUGUCCGAUAUUUUCUCUUUUCCAGCUACAUAUAUAUUUGAGUAUGGGUAAUUAUCUCUAUCUAAAAUCAUUGUUUUUGUUUCCUUGAUAUCUAUUUUCAAACCCAAAGCUUCACUUGCAAAAGUUAGAUCAUUUAAAAGACGUUGAACCUCUUAGAUGUUAUCUGCCACUACCGUUGUGUCAUCAGCAUACCUAAUGUUGUUAAUAAACUUGUCGUUUACUUUCACACGCUUAGCAGUCUUCCACUGCUUCUGCGAAUGCUUUUUCUACUUAUAUACAUAUAUGUUGUAAGUUACCUAACGUUGGACAGAGUAUGCAACCUUGCUUUACUCCCUUCUUUAUUGAAAAAUCUUCCAUUUCGUUGAAAUUUUGAAGACGUACUGUCACCGGCGCCCAUAUAAAAAUUUUCAGGGGGGGGGCAGACGUAAAAGUGUUGCACAUUAUAUUUUGUAUACUUUGGAUAACCAUAUAUAGUUUAAAACACCCGAAAAGCUAGGGGAGGCACGCCCUCCCCUAACCAUGGGUAUGUGCGCCCAUGCGUACUGUUGCUGUGUGGUUUCAAUUGAGACUGGCGAUAAAUCUUAUAUCCUUGGUAUCCAAAUCCCAACUCUUGUAGAUAUUUUAUCGUUAGUUCGUGUUUUACGUUAUCGAAUGCUUUCUCAUAAUCUAUAAAACAGAGAAAAAUAUCCUUUCUUUGAUCUAAACAAUUCUGUAUUAAUGUUUGCAUAUUAAAGAUUGUCUGUCUCGUGUCUCGUGCCAAGUCUAUUUUGAAAUCAAAUUGAAUCCAGCCACUGACCUCUUCACAUUUAUUAAAUAAUGUAACUAAUAUUCGCAAGAAAAGUUUUAAAAUACGCUCAUUAUGCUUAUUAGCCGGUGUUUUUUAAAGAAUUAUGCACGUGGUGUUUUGGGCAGGCUGAUAGAAGUAGAGCUAAACCAAUAUUUUGGAAUCUGGCACGUGUCGUAGAUACCGUUAAAGAACUUCACAAUAAUGUCUAGAUUUUCUUUAUCAAGUAACUUGACUAUUUCUGGGGCUUUGCUACGUUUUAAUAGUUUGAUAACAUGUACGUCCUCAACUUUCAAAAUAUUUUGGCCAUUCAAAUAGUUUCUCAAUUGUGGUUGUUCUGUGAACGUUGACCAAAUUAGCUGUGUACAUUUUCAUCAUUAUCAAUGGUGCUACAGCCCUAUGAAAGAGCCGCGACCUUCCCAAGUCUAUUACACCAGUCAGUUCUAUCCAUUGCCCACUGUUGCCAGUUUGCUGCGUCUAUUUUUCUACCAUCCUCAUCUACACCAUCCUUCCAUCUGAGUUUUGGCCUACCCCUAUUUUUACUUUCCACAGGUUGUGACAUAAGGAUUCUUCUAGGAGGAUUGUUGUGCUGUGAUCGUGCUAGAUGUCCUGCACAUCUUAGUCUUCCUAUUUUUAUAAGAGAUACUACAUCUCUACUACUAAAUAUAUGUUUAUACACACACCCAAACUUAUAUGGAAUCAUCUGAUAAUUCUUACUAUUUCGUGCGAAUUCAAAAAAACAAACACAAAAAGUCAAACAAUAUUUAUUUUAAAGCAAUUUAAUAACAAAUACAUUACAAUUAAAUAAAACAAUAAAGUAUUUAACAAACAAAUUGAAAGUAGUUGUUUUAAAGUCAAUAGCAUACAAAAUUUCAAUGUAAAACGAAUAAUGUUUAAAUUGUAUUUAUUUUUUUUUGUAUUUUGUGGUAGUCAGUGUUAUCACAUCUAGUCCUUAUGCAAGCUUUAGUUUGCGUGGGCACGCUCCUAAUCAAAUUAUCAACAUUUUGUUGUGGUAGGUUGCUCCAUCCUUUAAGAGCAGCUUGUACUAGCCGUGCGGUGUUUUGUGGAUUAUCCCGGCGAGCUCUAAUUUUUGUUUUAAUCAUACCCCACAAAUACUCUAUAGGAUUAAGCUCGGGUGAGCAAGCAGGCCACUCCAAACAAGGGAUAUCUUCUGCUUCAAUGAGGCCUGUAGUCACUCUAAUGGUAUGUAGAGGUCCAUUAUCAUGAAAUUAAAUUAAAUUUUCUCCUGUUGCACCUCUCCAGAGCCUGACUACAGGUUAUCAACAUACCUGUGAGCAGUUAAAGUUGAUUGGAUGAAAAUUAAAGGAGUUUUUUUACGGAUCACAAUUCCUCUCCAGAACAUUACACUUCUCCUUGUAUAUUUGUAAACAGAUCUGACAGUUUUCGUUCUUACUUGUCUUCCUCGACCUCUAAGUACACGAUUUCAUGGGUCAUCUGAUUUUACACAAAUCCUGACUUGUUCCAGUUUUGGUGGUGAAGACACCAAUUUAGGUGAUCAAUCUUCUGUUGCCUGGAUAAUUCCAGAACCCAUAACUGUCUUCUGCUGUAUACUUCUUGAUACGAACUCUUCUUCUUAUCGUUUUAACUGAAACAGUUACACCUGUAGCUUCCAAAAGCUGCCUUUGGAGCUGCAGGUGAGAAAUGGUUGGGUGUCUUCCAGCUGAUUGGACAAUUAAACUAUCUUGCAGAGCCGUUAUUACUUUUGGAGACUUUCCCUUACUUUAUUUUUGAGUUUUCCUAGUUCCUGUUACCUUGCAUAGGUUUUGGACAGAACGCCCUGUAUUACGCCUCGCUCUACAAUUUAUGUCCCUCUGAGAACAUUACUAUCUCCACAAGACCAAUAAUCUUUCCUCGUUGUAAGUUCUAUAACCCCAUAUCAGGCAUCUUUUCGUUUUUGGGCGCAAAAGUUAGUUUAUUUAUUUUCGUUCAAUUUGAAACUCAAGCAAAUAAUACCGUACCGAGCUGUACUAUCUGAUUGUCUUAUAUAUUUGUUUAUUUUCAAUUAAAACCUUUAUUCUUCGCAACAAUAAGUUUUUUCAAAAUAAAUAAAUAUUAUUUUGAAAUACAUGGUGAUUCCAUAUAAGUUUGGGUGUGUGUAUCUGUGGUAUAUCUUGUAGUUGUACCUUCUCCUCCAAACACCAUUUGCACAGAUACCACCGAAUAUUCCUCAUAUUCCUCUCAGAAUCCUUCUUUAAAAUAUAAGCAGAUUUUUUCUCCAAUCCAUAUGUUAACACUGGUUAUUUAAGGGUUUUGUAUAUAUGGUUAUUUUUGUUUUUUGGCUUAAGUUUCUUCUCAUAUGUCUACUCAGUCCAAAAUAGAAUUUGUUUGCUAGGAUUAUCCUUCGCUUGAUUUCUUCCGUCAUAACGUUCUCCUUGGUGAUCAGGGAGCCUAAGUAUGUGAAUUUGUCCACCAAUUCAAAGGUAAAGCUAUCAACCGUUAAUUGGUGACCGAUGUUUCUGGCUCUAUUUACUUUCAGACCCAUAUUUUUUCAGGCAUUUGAGAAGAUGCCCAUUGUGCGGACAACUAGGUCCACAUCAUCUGCAUAUACCAAAACUUAGGAUGAUUUAUUAAAAAUAUUUCCUCUGUUGUCUAUUUGGGCAUCUUUGACCGCCUUUUCCAGAGCUAUGUUGAAAAAGAGACACGCCAGCGCAUCUCCCUGUCGCAGCCCAACUAAACAUGCUUUUCAAACGCCUGUGAUUGUUCGCCCCGUAUUUCGACUUUGCAAACAACUUUACGCAUUAUAGCCGUAACCAAUCUUAUUAGUUUAUCGGGGAUGUGGAAUUCAUCCAUGGCUUCAUACUUUCAAUUUAUUUCUUAGGACACUAUCAUAGGCCGAUUUAAAAUCUACGACAAGAUUGUAUGUGUCGAUAUUGAAUUCAUUGGUUUUUUCCAGUAUUUGCCUUACCACAAAGAUCUGGUCUGUUGUUGAUCGACAGGCCUAAAACCACUUUGGUAUUCGCCAAGAAUCUCCUCUGAAUAUGCACUUGAGCGAUCAUAUAAGAUACUCGAAAAUAUUUUGUUAGCUGUAUUAAGGAGGGUUAUUCCCCUAUAGUUUCUACAUUCCAAUUGAUAACCCUUUUUGUGUAGCAGGCAAUACACCACUCUGCCGGGAUUUGCUCCUCAGUCCAGGCUCUCAAGUAUUAUUUUAUAUAUUUGAUCAGCCAGAGUAGCACCUCCAUAUUUAAUAAUAAGUUCCUCGGGUAUACCGUCACUUCCUGGAGAUUUAUUAUUUUUUAGGUGUUUUAUUGCAUCCCGUAUAAGGUUGUAUCAACCUUUGAACAUGGGUCUAUUACGAGUAUUUUGAUAUCCAAUUGCGCAAUUUAGAGAAAUGUACCUACUUACUACUUUUUAGGAUAUAAAUGAAACUUCUCAUCUCUACUUAUGUGAAUUUGAAACUAUUUCCUUUCUAGUUAUUCCUUGUAUAGAAAGUUUAAGUAUUACUUAAAUUUCAAAUAUUUGACCUUUAUUUAUGUAUGUAUAUUCGUACAAUUAUUGGAAUUAAGGCAUUUCUUUUAUAAAAGAAUCAAAAUUUAGAUCUUACUAAAAUAAAGAUUAGUUUGAUGCAGUUAUCAAAAUGUGUCGAUAUUCAACCGGAAUAUUAUUCUUGCUUAUUUAUAUUAAGUGCGUUCGCAGAGCCCUGGCAACUUAGCCAUGACAACUCCUAACCUCACCUAAUAUAAAUAAUACCGUUAAUAGAUUUACAAGGUAUAUUUAUCUAUUAACGGUAUUAUUUAUAUUAUUUUAAGUGCGCAUAUUAGUAUUCUAAGUGCGCAUUCGAUUUUCUGACAAUUUAUCACUGACUAGUUGCCGACAGUCUCUGCGAACUCAAAUAAUAUUAUAUAUCUAUUCAACUUGAAGAAAACACGAAAAAUAUUGAAACAACAGUUGUUAUAAGACUGGGUGCAAAUUGAAACCUAACUUAAUGAAGUAAUGAGCUCACAAUGUUGUAUUAAAAGACAAAAAUUAAUAUAUCAGUGAAUGUACGUAGUAUAAAGGGUCCCCGCAUACUGCAGACUUUUUAUCGGCCGAUAGUUUAGUCGGGUUGAGCUGUUAAGCAGGCCGCGCACCGAAUCGGCAUAAAGCGAUCGGCUCGGCUAAGAGCAAUCGGCAGAUUUUGCUAUACAUGGAAAUAAAUGAGCCGCCGCGCACCGCUUACGAACGUUCGACUCGGAACGGUCAGAUCGCUUCGGCUUCGGCGGAAAAUGAUAGCAGAGGCAAAACCCGCCGAAUGAUCCGAUGCUGUUGGCGCCGUUGUGUAUGUUUUUAGUAGUAUUUUAUGCAUUGCAAGGAACACGUGUAUAAUUUUUAAGAAACGCACUAUGGCUGACGAACUUCUGAUAGAAAGUGUGCGGGAAUAUGUAAUAUUAUAUGAUCCCCAAAAUAGAUAUUAUCAUGACACCAAUAGAAGAAAACGCUUGGGGUGAGAUAGCGAAAAAAACAGGACUCUCCGGUAAAUAAUAAAUAUUUAUUUCAGCACAUAUUUAUCCUAAUAUUAUUUUAAAUUUAAAAUAUAUUUCCUUAAUUUUAAUAUUAUGCUUAGGGAAAAUCCAUAAACUGCGUCGGUGUCGUAAAAAUUUUGUAGUUUUUUAUAAACUCCCUCCCUUCCGUCCUAAGUGUUUUUUUUUAAUUUCAUGUUAUUUCUGGAUUUUUUAAUUUUAAAGUUAGCUCUCAAACUUUAAUUACGAAGGUAUUCAAAUCAGUAUUAUUAUGUAACUCAUUAAUAUCCGCGUCAUUUCUUUCUUAAUUCACUGCACAACUAUUUAACUCUAUUUGGACAAAAGACAACACUUUUAUUAUCGGAAUUCCUAUGCUUUAUUAACUACAUCAUAUAAAUUUUGAUACUUAUGUUGUUUUGAUUUCAACGCCAUUUCUUUCAUAAGAAUAAAUACAAUGUACUAACUAAAUACAAUAUUUUAUUUCUAUUCAUUCUUUUAACAAUUUGUUUCACACAGAAUAUUCAGUAAAUAAAUGGACAGCAGUUUAAUAUUUAUUGAUGCCAGCCGUUUUUCUUUAUGUAGAACCGUUUGUUUAAACUCAGGAACAAUGUUUUAUUGUUUGGUAUUCGGUACAAAAGUGCUAUAUGGUAACAUUAUGACUGUGACUGAUAAAAAGGAAAUGUGAAACGCAAUGAAAAGUAUGCGAUAAAAGUAAUAGAAAUUCUUUUUUAUUCUAAAAUAGGGUAUAAUUAUAUUCGUGAACCUUUUUAAAUUAAAUUAAAUUUAAAUAUACCAAACAAUACCACAAAUAAUAAAAAUAUACGACGUACACCGUCGUAAUAGUCCCCUCCCCCUUUUUCCAGUUUAUGGAUGUUCCCUUAGUACUAGAUACAUAAUAUAUUUAUCUAUUAAUACUUCCAAAUUGAAUAAUUGAAAAUGCGCCAAUAUUAUUGUACUUAUACAGUGCGCUGGAAUAAGUGUUAUUUAUUUAUAAUAUGAACAUUUAGCACAUAAGCAAAACGCUCGGACAGGUCGAUUUUUAAAAUGAUCAUAGUAUAUUAUAGCAUCAAUGUUUUGAACUUUACUCUAUUCUUCUUCAGAUGACAGUCAUAGUCAUAACUUUGAUUUUUUUAAAUAGGAAAGUACAUCAUGUGACACCUCAUUUAAUAGCUUUUGAAAUACUGAUUACAAAAAUGUAUAAUUAUAUAUUUGAAAUUAAAAAUCAUACUAAAUUUUCUCUUCGUUCUCAUCUCUGUAACUUAUUAAAAUAAAUGCGAAACUGCCGAUGCCGAGGUGACCGAGUCAGUGCGCGGGUACAGUCCGCCGAUCGUAGCGUUCCGAGCCGAUCGCUCUAUGCCGAUUCGAUGCGUGUGAACCUUUAGUGUGCAUACCGAGCAAACUAAACAGUCUGGUUGGUGAAGAGAGCGCACACUAGCAACAGCCGACCGACUAUUCUCGGACGAUUUAGUACUAACGUUGUUCUUAUUUGACUAUUGAAGUGCAGUAUGCAGUAUCGCACAUUGCAAAAAUUAUUCAGAAAUGUUAUUAUCGGUCUCAUAAAAUGGAAGAGGAAAACCAAGAAGAGAUUCCGAGAGUAUUGAGUGCAUCCAAUUCACAGUGGAAGAAAUAAAAACGACGGUCAAAAGUAACAGAUGUGAUCCAGAAGAUUGCCAUGUUAAAAUGGAACUGGCAGGACAAAUAAGAAGGACAAGCAAACUAAGUAGAGACAGACCUCAAACAAGAUGGACUGAUGACAUCAAGUGAAUGGCUUGUCACGAAUGGAUGCAAAAAACAACAAACAGAAAUGUAUUAAUAUGUGAAUGUAUCACAUUCGCCUUGCUCUUCCUGUUUUAUUGAUUGUGGUAAAGAGGCUAGCCUGUGAGUUUCGUAAGAUCUGUACUGGUUGGCGAUCCUCGAAUUCUUUUCCAUGGACCAUACCUUUGAAUCAGACUUGUGCUCCGAAAAGUGCCUCUCUGAUACCCACUGCAUUAAUGAAUCCGAACUGUUGUCCGAUAUUUGUUCCUUGCACUUCUUAUAAAUUCUUCCAUGGAUGACUCUAAGAAACAGUUUCAACAUAUGCCUCAUUAGGCUGAUCAAUCCCAUAUAAAUACAAUAUUUACUUCAACAUAAAACAAGAAAAAGUUUUCAGAACCUCUUUAAAAUUUCCAUGAUUUAUCAAACAUCGAAAGGCGAAGUAGAGUUCAACAAAAAUCUCUAAAAUAAAAAAUGGUGGCUAAAACCGUCCGGAAUCAUCUGCAAAUUUUCAUCUUUCCAACAUUUCUGACGACGGAACAUAAGCAUACUAAAAUAUUCAGAUAUACUAAUACCAGAUAUCUAAGAGACUCAUUAAUAUUCAGCUCACCGGAAUGCUAUUCUUCGAGGAGUGAAAUUUCAUAAACAAGGGAUCAUUUCAUAAAACAGAUUAUUUCAAAAUCCCUUGCUUAUGGAAUUCCACACCUCGAAAAAUAUCACCCCGUUGAUCUGAUUAUUAAUCAGUAUCUUAGAUAGCUGGUACUACUAUACAUCCAAUGCAGUUUUGGAAUGCAUGCCACAUAUGGAACGUUUAAGUCUGAUGCAUUACAGAACCGAUAUCUGACUAAUGAACUGAUAUGUUGGAAAUACUAUCUUUUAUUUAAAAAUGCUUUAUUUCUAAACUCGACCUAACAAUAAGAAUAUUAAAAUGCAAUAAAUUAGUGAGUAAUAAUUAAAUUAAGUAUUUAUAAAAAGCGUACUUAGAGCGAACAAUUAAAUAUGUCAAGUUGAUUUAUAAAUAAAAAUUCUCUAAUAAGUGGGUACAUCAAAUUUA